AGUGAACGCUGGCGGUAGGCCUAACACAUGCAAGUCGAACGGCAGCACAGUAAGAGCUUGCUCUUACGGGUGGCGAGUGGCGGACGGGUGAGGAAUACAUCGGAAUCUACUUUUUCGUGGGGGAUAACGUAGGGAAACUUACGCUAAUACCGCAUACGACCUACGGGUGAAAGCAGGGGAUCUUCGGACCUUGCGCGAUUGAAUGAGCCGAUGUCGGAUUAGCUAGUUGGCGGGGUAAAGGCCCACCAAGUCGACGAUCCGUAGCUGGUCUGAGAGGAUGAUCAGCCACACUGGAACUGAGACACGGUCCAGACUCCUACGGGAGGCAGCAGUGGGGAAUAGUGGACAAUGGGCGCGAGCCUGAUCCAGCCAGACCGCGUGGGUGAAGAAGGCCUUCGGGUUGUAAAGCCCUUUUGUUGGGAAAGAAAAGCAGCAGGUUAAUACCCCGCUGUUCUGACGGUACCCAAAGAAUAAGCACCGGCUAACUUCGUG
rnacentral:rRNA from 1 species